UACGUAGGGUGCAAGCGUUGUCCGGAAUUAUUGGGCGUAAAGAGCGUGUAGGCGGCCCCCAUUAGUCCGCUGUGAAAGUCCAGGGCUCAACCCUGGAAUGCCGGUGGAUACUGUGGGGCUAGAGUCCGGAAGGGGCGAGUGGAAUUCCUGGUGUAGCGGUGGAAUGCGCAGAUAUCAGGAGGAACACCAAUGGCGAAGGCAGAUCUCUGGGCCGUAACUGACGCUGAGGAGCGAAGCAUGGGGAGCGAACAGGA
rnacentral:rRNA from 1 species